AUGAACGCUGGCGGCGUGCCUAAUACAUGCAAGUCGAGCGAACGGACGAGAAGCUUGCUUCUCUGAUGUUAGCGGCGGACGGGUGAGUAACACGUGGAUAACCUACCUAUAAGACUGGGAUAACUUCGGGAAACCGGAGCUAAUACCGGAUGAUAUUUUGAACCGCAUGGUUCAAAAGUGAAAGACGGUCUUGCUGUCACUUAUAGAUGGAUCCGCGCUGCAUUAGCUAGUUGGUAAGGUAACGGCUUACCAAGGCAACGAUGCAUAGCCGACCUGAGAGGGUGAUCGGCCACACUGGAACUGAGACACGGUCCAGACUCCUACGGGAGGCAGCAGUAGGGAAUCUUCCGCAAUGGGCGAAAGCCUGACGGAGCAACGCCGCGUGAGUGAUGGAGGUCUUCGGAUCGUAAAACUCUGUUAUUAGGGAAGAACAUAUGUGUAAGUAACUGUGCACAUCUUGACGGUACCUAAUCAGAAAGCCACGGCUAACUACGUG
rnacentral:rRNA from 1 species